CAAGAACACUCCUUGGGCGUCCUUGCUGUUUUGUUUGUGAAGUUUUCUAUGCCCAGUGUUCCUGACUUCGAAACGCUAUUCUCACAGGUUCAGCUCUUCAUCAGUACUUGUAAUGGGGAGCACAUUCGAUAUGCAACAGACACUUGUAAGCUAAAUAACAUUUUAUUCUCCAUUGAAAAUAUUUUGCCCUUGUGGUUAUAUUUAUAUUUUGAAUAUUUUGUUAUUGUAUCUAGUUGCUGGGCUUUGCCAUCAGCUAACAAAUGCACUUGUGGAAAGAAAACAGUGACAACAUAAGAUCCAAUGUGCUGCCAUCUUUGAGAACUUAUCUGAAAGAGAUGUCAUUUCUGACAGCCCCUGCGAGGAAUUGGCAUCCUUAAGCAAGCCAUAGACAAGAUGCAGAUGAAUACAAACCAGCUGACCUCAAUACAUGCUGAUCUCUGCCAGCUUUGUUUGCUAGCAAAAUGCUUUAAGCCUGCCCUUCCAUAUCUUGACGUGGAUAUGAUGGAUAUCUGUAAAGAGAAUGGAGCCUAUGAUGCAAAGCACUUUUUAUGUUACUAUUAUUAUGGAGGGAUGAUCUAUACUGGGCUGAAGAACUUUGAAAGAGCUCUCUACUUUUAUGAACAGGCUAUAACUACUCCUGCCAUGGCGGUCAGUCAUAUCAUGUUGGAAUCAUAUAAAAAGUAUAUUUUAGUGUCUUUGAUAUUACUUGGCAAAGUACAACAGCUACCAAAAUAUACAUCUCAAAUUGUGGGUAGAUUCAUUAAGCCUCUUAGCAAUGCAUACCACGAGUUAGCACAAGUGUAUUCAACCAACAACCCCUCAGAACUCCGAAACCUGGUGAAUAAGCACAGUGAAACCUUCACUCGCGAUAACAACAUGGGGCUGGUGAAGCAAUGCUUGUCAUCUCUUUAUAAGAAGAAUAUUCAGAGGCUAACAAA
rnacentral:sRNA from 1 species